UACGUAGGGUGCGAGCGUUGUCCGGAAUUAUUGGGCGUAAAGAGCUCGUAGGCGGUGUGUCGCGUCGGCCGUGAAAACCUGCAGCUUAACUGUGGGCUUGCGGUCGAUACGGGCAUCACUGGAGUUCGGCAGGGGAGACUGGAAUUCCUGGUGUAGCGGUGAAAUGCGCAGAUAUCAGGAGGGAACACCGGUGGCGGAAGGCGGGUCUCUGGGCC
rnacentral:rRNA from 1 species